AGGCAGGAAGAAAAGGAUUCUGGGACAGGAAGUGGAGUGGAAGGCGGGCCUUGACCUGGUGAGGAGUCGGCUGCCUGCUUCUCUGAGGGUCCUUCUGUGGGGACCGGGACCCCAGGGGCAGGGAGCUGCCUAGGAAGAGGCGGAGCCAAGUCGGGGGCAGUUGCAGGAGCCUGCUUCUCACUGUCUCCAGCUUUGCUGUUAUUCAUCUGCCCUGUUUUGCUCUGAGCAGUGCUGGUGACCUGGCAGAUGGGGUCUUCGGAGGCCCGGGGGGCUGAGCUGCUGUUCACGCGGUGACCACAGCUUCCCCAGUUCUCAGGCAUUCAGACUCAGACUGAAUUAUACCGCCGACUUCCCUGGGGCUCCCGCUUGCUGAGGGGAGAUCGAGGAACUCUUCAGCCUCCAAAGUCCCGGGCUGGAAGCAAAGAUCCCUGAGCUGAGGAUCCGGAACCCUCUGUCCCAUCUUCCAGUGACCCCCUAGCGACAGUCUCCUGAAUCCGCGUGGCUCCUGCUGCCAGCAUCAAGGACCACACCUGGGAUGCUGAGGCCAACAGACGUGAGCUACAAAUAAUAAUUGCCCUUCUUGCCAGCAAUUGGAAGGAAACAACACAAGGAGAGAUUAAAUCUCAUGGAUGUUCCAAAGGCCAAACCCCUUCAACAGAGAGGAAAAAGCCAGAACCUGAUUAAGACACCAAGGCCCUCAUGAGCCAGCUUCUCAGUACCCACCCUGGGUGGCCUCUGGUCAGGCUCCUCUCUCCCACUCUACACACCCUCCUGGUGCCCAGCUCUCCUUCUGGAAUGAUCUACCAAAAACUAGUGUCAUCCCUUUACUCCUCUACUUUAUAACACUGACGACUCCUCUGUUGCUUGCAGCGUGGUCCGAAUGCCUUAGCAUGGUUGGCGUGUGAGCCCCUUCAUAGCCUGACCCUCCCAGCCCCCUGCUCUAGUC
ensembl:lncRNA